UUCUCUAUUCCAUUCUUUCCUAGUAUAGUUAUUUAGUUUAAAUGAGCUAAGUCUAUGGCAAUCUGUAAAUUGAGCAUUGGGGACUUCUUUGAACUUGCUGUGACAGAUUUGAUUUCUUAGAGGAGUUGAGCAUGUGGCAGAUUGAACAAUCUGGACUUUAAGCUUAAAGUUAUGAACUUAUAUUUACUGAUUGUGAGGGGUUAACAAAGCUUGAAUGAAAACUUGUAUAUACAAAGUAAUUUAUGUUCUUAAUUUAAGGGCUUCUCUGUUGUCUCUUGCUUAUUUUAGUGGGGUGAGUUUCCAGCAUGUGUGUCUGUGUUUCAGAAGUAUAAUGAAAAGAAAUUAUCUUAUCCUAAACAUGAAAAUUCAAAACAAGGCAGAGGAUUGUGUGCAAGAGCUAUUGUUUACUCCACUUAUUUAUCAUGCUGUGAUUUUGAAGUGUUGGUGGUCUAAACAUGCUUGAGCUUUGUUUACUACAUGCUGGCGUGAAAUUUUGGUUGGGAGGAAGGUGGAGUUGUAUUACCUCCUGAAGCAGUUGCUUGAUUUUCAGCUUCUAAAACUUGGACUCUCUCACUUACUUCCUGAUUCCUUGUUGAAAAGUUGGGGGAAAAAAAUUGAGAUUGCUUUAACAUAAAGUGUUUGUGAUGAGGGGAGGAAAAAUGUGUUACCUAUGGGGAGUAGACAAUGCCUGCAGAAACUCUUCUCCUAGCUCACUCACUCUCGACUUUCUAUUGUAGCUGAAGAUUUCGAACAAGAAGGAGGAGUUUUGAGGGGGUGUGGGGGUUUUUAUAGGAGAGCUUGGGUGUACCUAGGAGAAUUAAAUGGAGCUGACCUCCAUUUGUCUUCAAACACAGCAUCUCUCUUUGUUUUGAUCUUCAAAGCAGCCUUUUACUUAAGAGUUGCAGGAGCAUCGAGAGAGGAGGCAAGGCUGUUGGGGUGAGGGUGCUGCAGCAGCUUUGACUUACCCUCUUGGGAAGUCCUUAGCUCCCCUUUGCUAAAGAAAGGAGGAAGCAUAACUUGGGCUGGUCGGAACGGGCUUGUGUGGUGAGGUUUGGGCUUGGGCCCACUGCUCUUGGCCCGACGAAUUGAUCGAGAACGAGUCGCGGUUUGCCGAAGGUUGGCUGGUGAAAUGAUGCCCAGCAUGCAUUCCUUUGUAAUAGUAUUCGUGAUUACGUUUCUCUUGUAAUAGUAUUCAUGAUCUAUCAUUUUUUAUAAGUGAAGGGAGUUUGUGACGUAUACUGUCACACCUCAA